AUACGGGAGGCAGCAGUGGGGAAUUUUGCGCAAUGGGCUAACGCCUGACGCAGCAACGCCGCGUGGAGGAUGAAGGUCUUUGGAUUGUAAACUCCUGUCAGCAGGGAAAAAGCAACCUGACCUCAUACGUCAGGGAGUUGAUUGUACCUGCAGAGGAAGCCCCGGCUAACUCUGUGCCAGCAGCCGCGGUAAUACAGAGGGGGCAAGCGUUAUUCGGAAUUAUUGGGCGUAAAGGGCGCGUAGGCGGCCUGGCAAGUGGAAGGUGAAAUCCCUCGGCUUAACCGAGGAACUGCCUUCCAGACUGCUUGGCUUGAGACCGGGAGAGGUGAGUGGAAUUCCCAGUGUAGCGGUGAAAUGCGUAGAUAUUGGGAGGAACACCAGUGGCGAAGGCGGCUCACUGGACCGGUACUGACGCUGAGGCGCGAAAGCGUGGGGAGCAAACGGGAUUAGAUACCCCGGUAGG
rnacentral:rRNA from 1 species